rnacentral:rRNA from 1 species
UACGGAGGGUGCAAGCGUUAUUCGGAAUUACUGGGCGUAAAGCGAGUGUAGGCGGUUCUGUAAGUCUGAUGUGAAAGCCCUCGACUCAAUCGAGGAAGUGCAUUGGAUACUGCAGAGCUAGAGGAUAGGAGAGGAGAACGGAAUUCCUGGUGUAGAGGUGAAAUUCGUAGAUAUCAGGAGGAACAACGGUGGCGAAGGCGGUUCUCUGGACUAUAACUGACGCUAAGACUCGAAAGCGUGGGGAGCAAACAGG